UAGGGAAUCUUCGGCAAUGGACGAAAGUCUGCCCGAGCAACGCCGCGCGAGUGAAGAAGGUUUUCGGAUCGUAAAACUCUGUUGUUAGAGUAGAACAAGGACGUUAGUAACUGAACGUCCCCUGACGGUAUCUAACCAGAAAGCCACGGCUAACUAGGCGCCAGCAGCCGCGGUAAUACGUAGGUGGCAAGCGUUGUCUGGAUUUAUUGGGCGUAAAGCGAGCGCAGGCGGUUUCUUAAGUCUGAUGUGAAAGCCCCCGGCUCAACCGGGGAGGGUCAUUGGAAACUGGGUGACUUGAGUGCAGAAGAGGGGGGUGGAAUUCCAUGUGUAGCAGUGAAAUGCGUAGAUAUAUGGAGGAACACCAGUGGCGAAGGCGGCUCUCUGAUCUGUAACUGACGCUGAGGCUCGAAAGCGUGGGGAGCAAACAGG
rnacentral:rRNA from 1 species